AUGGAUGGUGAAGCGGCGCAGGUUGCAGAACACACAGAGACCAGUGCAGCUUCUACGGAAGGAGUCACAUCCAUCAACAAAGCCAGGGGUAGGGGGUCUAAAGGCCCUGGUCGAGAGGGCCGGACAGCUAGAGGUGGACGUGGUGGGAGGAGUAUGAUGAUGAAGGCACAUGGUCCCUCUGGACGAGCCAGAGGAAGAGGCAGAGAUGCAGCAAUGAAUGGCUUUGGACCGGGAAGACGAGCUAUGGGAAGGAUGCGGCCGUACCCUGAACUCCGAGGUCACCAGGGAGGGCGGGGUGGACCCAUGGGAUUGGGGCGCCCCCCUCCUCUUCCUCCCCCUCCUCCCCCUCCACCAAUGCACAUGAGAGGUCCUUACCCACCCAUGCACAGGCCUGGCCCUCCACCCCCACCCCCACCAGGGCAUCCUGGCUUUAGGGGACACCCCCCUCACCUCCGGGGUCGAGGAAUGCACCCAGGUCCGCCUUGCCAUUUCCGCCCCAGAGGCUUCUACUGUGGACCGCCCACUCCUCCGCCUCCCCCACCACCUGGCAGAGGCCAGCGCUGGCCGGGGCCUCCCGUUGGCCGGCGCUUUUAAAUCUGCUUACUGUUUAACGCUUAGCACCUUUUUAAUAGGGGCCCACGUUUAGGUGUAACGGGACGCUCGCUUUUCAAGCACCUUGAGCUCCUCACAAAGACUUUGUAGGGAAAUGUUUGGUCUCAACUCACAGUGGAGGCACCACACACGCAAAAGGGCCUCAGAUCACGUAAAGAACGGACAUCUUGCCUGUUUUAUGCCGAGACGCAGCGUUUCAAACCCUCCUCUCCUUCUCUAAAACCUGCGUUUUAAUGAAGCGAGAAGAUACCUUUAGGCAUAGGGAAAUACUACUCUGUUGUCGAAAGGGACAAAAAGUUGACUUAUCAGUUCCGCAUCUGGCUGUUCUUGGAUCACAACCAGAUGUUUUUUGCUGCCAAAGUAGUUGCUUGACAGUAUUGAAGGAAUUUUUAAAGAAACUGAGAAAAAGAAUAAAAAAAGAGAAAGAGAAGCCA
rnacentral:lncRNA from 1 species